UGGUUUUAAAGAGCGCUCUCGCUCGAGGGCUAAAACUACACACAUUCACUUCAAACACGAUUGAGAAUUCAUUGUAUUCUGUGUCAUUUGGCUUGGCAAAAAAGCUCCCUGCCAUAUUUGAAUGAUCCUGUGCUCUGAACUAGUUGAAAGUAUUCACUCUGACUCUCAGCCAUCACAAGAUGAAUUAAGGGGAAGACAACUUGAAAGUUAUCUCCAGCCAUCUGACAUAUGGCAUGUUGGUGCCAUUAGCUGCCACAAGAUGCAGGCUGUCUAGUGCCUCUGUUGCCUCAGAAAUAUCUCUCAGUUUCAC